GACGAACGCUGGCGGCGUGCUUAACACAUGCAAGUCGAACGGAAAGGCCCUGCUUUUGUGGGGUGCUCGAGUGGCGAACGGGUGAGUAACACGUGAGUAACCUGCCCUUGUCUUUGGGAUAACUUCAGGAAACUGGGGCUAAUACCGGAUAGGAGCUCCUGCUGCAUGGUGGGGGUUGGAAAGUUUCGGCGGUUGGGGAUGGACUCGCGGCUUAUCAGCUUGUUGGUGGGGUAGUGGCUUACCAAGGCUUUGACGGGUAGCCGGCCUGAGAGGGUGACCGGCCACAUUGGGACUGAGAGACGGCCCAGACUCCAACGGGAGGCAGCAGUGGGGAAUAUUGCACAAUGGGCGGAAGCCUGAGGCAGCAACGCCGCGUGCGGGAUGACGGCCUUCGGGUUGUAAACCGCUUUCGCCUGUGACGAAGCGUGAGUGACGGUAAUGAGUAAAGAAGCACCGGCUAACUACGUG
rnacentral:rRNA from 1 species